rnacentral:rRNA from 1 species
AUUGAACGCUGGCGGCAUGCUUUACACAUGCAAGUCGAACGGCAGCGCGGGCUUCGGCCUGGCGGCGAGUGGCGAACGGGUGAGUAAUGCAUCGGAACGUGCCCAGUAGUGGGGGAUAGCCCGGCGAAAGCCGGAUUAAUACCGCAUACGACCUGAGGGUGAAAGCGGGGGACCGAAAGGCCUCGCGCUAUUGGAGCGGCCGAUGUCGGAUUAGCUAGUUGGUGGGGUAAAGGCUUACCAAGGCGACGAUCCGUAGCUGGUCUGAGAGGACGACCAGCCACACUGGGACUGAGACACGGCCCAGACUCCUAAGGGAGGCAGCAGUGGGGAAUUUUGGACAAUGGGGGCAACCCUGAUCCAGCCAUGCCGCGUGCGGGAAGAAGGCCUUCGGGUUGUAAAGCGCUUUUGUUCGGGAAGAAAUCCUCUGGGCUAAUACCCCGGGGGGAUGACGGUACCGGAAGAAUAAGCACCGGCUAACUACGUG